ACCACAUUUCUAAAGAACCGGAUGUGCAUGACAAGGAAGAAUAUUUAUCGUUGAAGAAUGCUUAUUUUAGCAAUGUGCAGGUUGAGAUGAUUUUCAUAAGAGGUCGCCAGAUUCAUUUUUGCAAAUUUCACGAUGUCCAGCUCAGAGGGUGUGGUGGUCAAGCUAUGUAAGUACUGUCCCAAUCCACUGAGAUUGUAUUGCACAAUUUGUGACAGUGGGCUAUGUUCCUCGUGUUUGGCGAGGCAUCUUGGAACUGAAACUGACAGAGGACAUUAUGUAUGUUUCUACCGAGAUAGGAUGUCAUCUAAAUCAAUCGGGAAAUACUGCAGGAAACAUGCUGCAAACAUCUGCGACUAUUUCUGCAUUUCCUGUUUCAAUAAAGUUUGUUUUGAGUGCUUAGGGCUAAAUGAUGAAUUACGUCAUACGACAAUGAGCAUUCAAGCUCUAAUGCGACAGAAUCUUAAGCAAGUACAGGAUGAUAUGCAAAUUUUAUCGAGAGAUUUAACACCUAAAUAUGAUGCGAUAAUAGAAGCAAUUGAUUCAAUAAUUGAAGCACAAACCGGGAAAAUCAAUAUGGUGCCAUAUAUUUUACCGCGUUCCUUAAAUCUUCAAUCUCAUUCUCGUUUAUUUUUCUAUGAAUGCCGUAAAUCCCCAAACCCUAUUUUGGAUGAAAUAGAAGAUUAUUUAAGAAGAGUUGGUUCUAUGAUACCUCCUGAGUUAAUAUUUAUUUCGUUUCGGGUCGCUUUACGAAAACAUAUCAUCGAGAGAAUGCUUGAAAAACUUGCAAAACGUCUAAUGAACCACAGAUUUUUACAAAAGUCGCGCCUUCGUAGUAAACGUUGUCUAAUCUUGACAAAACUGAGCGAUUCAGAUUUUUUUGAAGAAGUAAAGAGUGUACUUAGUGCCACAUAUAGGGCAAAGAACGCCAAACAUCAUCCUAAACGUCUCCCUCCGCCAAAACCGGGAACGGUUAGUCCACUUGAUAGAUCAGAAAAAGAGGAGGCGAUAGAUGAUGUGUAUAAUAACAGCUCGCAUUUUGUCGUUGGUAAUAACGGCCCCCUCCUUGUAAUUACGGUGCUAGCUUUUGCACAUGGUGGUAAUUCACGAAUGCAUGGCAUCGUGUUUCAAAAUGCUCAUGGUGAAGUUGUCUUUGAUGCCGUAACUGAAACAAUAACACAGAGAGGAUGCAUCUCCUUGCAGCAUCGGAUGUGCUAAUGGAGAUAAAUCUGAUGGAAAAAUCCAUAAAAACAAUCCGAAAGCAGGAUAAAUGGAAAUACGUUGACAUGACUUGCACGUUUUCGGGAUUUCUGCUUGUCAUUGAAGAAGGCAAACAGUUACAGUCUCAUCAGCAAGACUACCGUGUAACGAGAUGCGAUUUGAAUGGUAACAUUCUACAAGAGAUUGACUUUGAUACCGAGUCCCUUUAUUAUCCGUUUAAAAUCCAGGAGCGAAUAAAUGGCGAUAUGUCAGUGCUGGACAAAAGUAAUGGAAAUGUUCUUGUUCUGAACGCAUCAGGGCGAGAAGAGCAAAGUUACUGCGCACAUUACGCGGAAAACGCGCCGGAGUUUUUGCCAAAUCUCAUACUUUGCGACAAAUUCGGUAACACUAUUAUUUACGAUAAACGAAGAUCGAUGAUUCAAAUCACUGGCAAAGAUUUCGGGAACGUUUGCAAGAUACAACUGAAGAAGAGUUCUCUGCUUGGUUUUUGUAUCGAUAUUGAUGACAGAUUAGUUUGUUUGUGUCGGUGUAAAAAUAGUGGGUUUGAAAUCCAGAUUUACAACUAUAUGAAUAUGUAAGAAUUGAUAAUAUGCUAAAAUAGGAUGCAAAAUAAAAUGAUUUGUUUAAAGGU
rnacentral:misc_RNA from 1 species